AAAAAUAUAGAAAGUUUACUUGGGAGCGUUGUCUUCCAAGUAUUUUUCCAAAAUGCUUCGUUACUUAUCUGAGAAGAUGGACCUAGACCUAUUGAAUUCCUUGCCAACAGAGAAUUAUGGCAAUGUAAUAACCAGAUUUCACAGAAAAAAAUCCUCUCCCAUCAAAAUGCCAAACUAAGCGGUCCUCUUGCAUGUGAAUUCCAAUUGGAAUAGGCAAAAUGUGCUCAAUUUCUUCGUCCUGCUUAAGCAAGUUCAAAUCCCACGAGUUGGAACAGAGUCUACGAGCUGAGAUACCAUUUCAUACAAUCAACCGACAGAAUUACUAUCCUAUAAUAUAAAGUGCAGUUGCCUAUAAACAGUAAAUCCAAAACUAAUUUCACGAAAUUGAAUUAAAAUUAUACCCUUAAUCAAAUGUUUUUAAGCUUUUGGAUGCAUUGGCCUUUUUUAGGUCUUUUGAGUCCAGCCUCUUCUGCAAUCUUCUCCACGAUUCUUAGCCGUGUAUGUUUUACCUCCUUGCCAUGGCAAUCUUUCAAAACGACGACGUUUUAUUAUAUCUGAUGAGUGCUAUGAGAUAGUUUCUCCUUGAUUUGCAGAUCUCACGUCUAUCUGAGCAAGGUCUGCUUUACUGUUUGAGAGAAAAAGAGACAGAGAGAGAGAGCGAGGGCAGGUGAGAUGAUCAGAAAACCGAAGAACCCGAGGAAGCG
rnacentral:misc_RNA from 1 species